AUCAUUGUAUUGCUUUUCUUAUUAUUCCAUAGCCGCAUUGUGUAAUAACCUUCUCUAUAAGCUUGGUAUCCUGCUAGAUAAAACAUUGUUUAAUACUUUAAUGUGACAGUAAAGCAAGUACAUGUCCUUAAUAAUCUGCCCCUUUUGGUUGUUGUAGUUAUUCCCUCGAGUCUUCUCUUGAAUGUUAUCCCCUUCCCUUUAAAUGGAAACUCUUGUUGGGCUUUAAAGACCCUUAAAUUGUUGGGAUUUAAAAGAUGAGAUAGUGUGAAUAAGAAAUGGAAGGAAAAUUGAAAAUUUGAGCAAAGUUCUUUUCGGAUGAGAACUUUGUCUCUCAUUGGUGGUGGAAAGAGUGAUUUGUAUGCUUAUAUAUAGAAGCACAUCCUCUAGCUCAUAAAGAGUUGGGAAGAGAGUCUUCCCUCGCGCCGCUAUCGUCGCUCGGCUCGGCUUCAGAUUUGGGGUUGUGAUCUAAUUGAUUGAGAAAUUUUUUGGACCAAAUUUAUUUUCAUUUCCAUUAUUUUUUUUCCAUUUUCUAAUAUUAUUACAGUGCAAAAUUUAAUUUAAUAUUUGCGGAAAUAUUCCAACAGUAACGGUGAUUUCCGAAAAGUCACACAGAGGUAUUCCCUCAGUUUCUGCAUCGAAUUUUCAAACUUCUGCAUACUUUCUUAAAAUAAAAAAUCGAGCCUAGUGUGUGAUUUGUUACUGCCUUUGAGUUCGACGAAGUCGUUGGCGUUUGAGGUACUGCUACUUCUGCGACAGGUAUAUCCGCUUUAUCUUGGGAGGAAGUAAUCUAUGACCUCGGGUACAGUGAGGGGAUUAAAUUCCUUAAGGACACACAAUGAACUCUGUGGACUCGGAUAUUUUCAGUUUCUGCAUUUUUCUGUUUUUUCCAGCUUAAUUCGAUUUUCUGGUUUAUGGUUUUGAACAUAUUCUUCUAACAACUCUUUCUCCUCAGUAUUUAUUAUUAUUCUUUGCACUACUCCAGGAUUUUUAUGGACCCUUUUCAGUUCAUGUAAAUUUCGAAUCUAUUGCAAUUGUGAGGUCCAACCAGAACAGACGAAUGGCCUAUAAACGGAGUAAACUAUAAAGAAGAAUGGCCUUUCUGAACUUUUUAAGCUUUCUCUAUAUCUUCACCCCUGGGAGUAAUGCAGUACCUUAAAGAUAAAGUAGUGAUUGUGGAGCAUGCUGCAAAGGCAACUCGAGACGUCUACCAAUCUUAUUUCUUUCACUGUGUCUGAAGGUCGAAGAAGCACGGGCACUCUAAAUGUACUUAUCUUGGAGGAGCUGAUAAUUUUUACACACACACUCCUGAAAUUGCUUUUCAUCAAGGAAAACAAGAUUUCAAUCUGGAUCAUCCUGGUCCAGUGGCACUAGCUCAUCACUAAAUCAAGUAAAGAGCUAAUUGGACUCGUUUGAUGACAUAGCAGCUAAGAGGAUAAAGAACAGCGAAUCUAGUACAUCGAUCAGAAUGAAAAUGGAUUAGCGAUGCCAGCAGUUCCCAAGAAAAUGGAAUAACUUCUGCAGAUGAGAGAAAAAAGCCUAAAAACAAAGAUUAUGUUAAUUUCCGGAGCAUCAAAUGAUAUGCUUCAGAAAAAUGUUCAUUGUUUAAAGCAAAGUUUGCCAUGAGAAGGAUCAAGCUUUAAGGGAAAACCUGAUGCUAUUAAGGUUUCAUGCUCUAUUUUCUCUGCCAUUUUGACCAGGUGCUGGAAAAUAAAAUUGAAACAUUUAACGAGGCAAUUGAAACCGAGGCCGAAAAAGGCGCAUAGAGAAGUUGCAGCAAUUGAAAGGAGAUCUCUACAAUCCGUGAUGGAAUGGAGCAUGGUCAAAGGGUAGUGUGUAACUGUGUUAUCAAAGGGAGCUGUAAAUUAAAUGGUCAUGCACUUUCAACGAGGUGAAGCUUUUGCAUGACCCUCCGACCCUGUUCUAUUAAAUUGUUCUACAUAAAAUGGACCAAGUUUAAGCUUGUGAGCUGUAUACAGCAGUGUGAAAGUGAGAGCCUCAAACCAUAUGGAAUGGUUGAGCUUAGGCUCAGGCCUGGUGCAUUGUCAGUGGACAAAUUUUGAAGGUUCAUAAUCUUGGUGAGCUUAUAUCAUCUCUAGAACAUUUACAUAAUCUAGUCUUAUCGGGCUUGUAGUUCCGCUGUACACGCUUUGUGAACGCUUUGCUGAAGUGAAGGGAAGAAUGCAUCUAAAAAACAGUUCUGCAACAUCUUAUUUGGUAAGGAGAAAGAAUGGUUUAGGAGUACAAAGGAGGAAAAUGAUAGGAAAACUGUGACGUUUUCCCUUGCUUCAUGUUCAUUAAUUAAGUGUGGCCCCGGAGAAAAGUGUUCUACUAAGUAAAGCACUCAAAGGACUGAGAACUCUUUGUUCUAUUUCUUAAGCCCCCUUUUGGCCA